UGCAGUUAGCGCAUCCUUCGGGAUGAGCGGCGGACGGGUGAGUAACGCGUGGGAAUGUGCCCUUCUCUACGGAAUAGCCACUGGAAACGGUGAGUAAUACCGUAUACGCCCUCAGGGGGAAAGAUUUAUCGGAGAAGGAUCAGCCCGCGUUAGAUUAGGUAGUUGGUGGGGUAACGGCCUACCAAGCCUACGAUCUAUAGCUGGUUUUAGAGGAUGAUCAGCCACACUGGGACUGAGACACGGCCCAGACUCCUACGGGAGUGCAGCAGUAGGGAAUCUUGGACAAUGGGGGCAACCCUGAUCCAGCCAUGCCGCGUGAGUGAAGAAGGCCCUAGGGUCGUAAAGCUCUUUCGCCUGUGAUGAUAAUGACAGUAGCAGGUAAAGAAACCCCGGCUAACUCCGUGCCAGCAGCCGCGGUAAUACGGAGGGGGUUAGCGUUGUUCGGAAUUACUGGGCGUAAAGCGCGCGUAGGCGGAUUGGAAAGUUGGGGGUGAAAUCCCGGGGGCUCAACCCGGAACUGCUUCAAAACUCCCAGUCUAGAGUUCGAGAGAGGUGAGUGGAAUUCCGAGUGUAGAGGUGAAAUUCGUAGAUAUUCGGAAGAACACCAGUGGCGAAGGCGGCUCAACUGGCUCGAUACUGACGCUGAGGUGCGAAAGUGUGGGGAAGC
rnacentral:rRNA from 1 species